rnacentral:lncRNA from 1 species
UUCAGCUGAAUAAAAGUAGAGAAGACGUUUUAUGGCUUACCACCACGUUCCCUAUGGUACCUCUCCACUACCCAGCCAAGGCUGAAAUCCGCCGAAAGGUUUCAAUUUCUCAUUCCCUACCCAGAGAUGGAGAAUACAUUGAUACUGCAUUUCAAAUUGGCUAGAUCAGAAGGAACAGCAGCUAAAAUCCAUUACAACCCAAUUACACCCAUCAGCUGAAGCUGUGUGCAUUCACUCGUGAACAUCAGCAUUUAACCCAUAAAGAGGAACUAAUGAGAAAUUUGAAAAUGGAAUCCACGCAUCAGUAAGUUUGGAGAGAUUUUUCCUUGGAUUAAUGAUCUGUCAGAGAAUCUUCAGCAUGCUGGAAAGCCAUUCUCUUUCAGUUUGUUUACUGACCAUGAGAGGAGGGUUUUUUUUUUUCCCUCUGUCUACUCAUCAAAUAU